UACAGAGGGUGCGAGCGUUAAUCGGAAUUACUGGGCGUAAAGGGUGCGUAGGUGGUCUUUUAAGUCAGAUGUGAAAACCCUGGGCUUAACCUAGGAAUGGCAUUUGAAACUGGGAGACUAGAGUUCGGAAGAGGAAAGUGGAAUUUCAGGUGUAGCGGUGAAAUGCGUAGAUAUCUGAAGGAACAUCAGUGGCGAAGGCGACUUUCUGGUCCGAUACUGACACUGAGGCACGAAAGCGUGGGGAGCAAACAGG
rnacentral:rRNA from 1 species